rnacentral:lncRNA from 1 species
CAAUUAUGUCCUCUCCUAUAUGACCUAGCCUAAGGUGCCAUAGAUAUUUUUGAUUAAUCCUAUCUCUAGAUCUCUUAGAUCCUAUGGUAUUUUAUUUGCUCAUUAAAAUUAACAUUCACAUCCAGAUGCAAAUGAUAAAGUCUAUCAAUUAAAAAGGCAAGUGCAAGAACUUUAUUUUCAAAAUAAAUUAUACAUAAAUCUUUAUUAAAAUAGAAACUGUAAUUAUCCUGUACUAGCA